rnacentral:tRNA from 1 species
GGGGAUUUAGCUCAGUUGGUUAGAGCAGACGGCUCAUAACCGUCUCGUCACAGGUUCAAAUCCCGUAGUCCCCACCA